rnacentral:tRNA from 2 species
CAAGUCCUGCCCCUCCUG